UACGGUAGGCAGCAAGCGUUGUUCGGAAUCACUGGGCGUAAAGCGUGCGUAGGCGGUUGGUUAAGUCUGCUGUGAAAGCCCUGGGCUCAACCUGGGAACUGCAGUGGAUACUGGCCAGCUAGAGUGUGAUAGAGGAUGGUGGAAUUCCCGGUGUAGCGGUGAAAUGCGUAGAGAUCGGGAGGAACACCAGUGGCGAAGGCGGCCAUCUGGAUCAACACUGACGCUGAGGCACGAAAGCGUGGGGAGCGAACGAGGAUUAGA
rnacentral:rRNA from 1 species